CACGAAGUCUUCACGGAAACACCCGAAGCGCUGGGUGGACUGGUGUUAGGCCGCACCGUCGGCAGCAGGACCUUCACGACGGGCACAGAACAAACCAGCUGUUUUCAUGUUGAACAGAAGAAGGCUGUUGAAGUCUCUGUCUUCACAACUUUAAGUCAGUUUCUGAACAGCUUUAUCCGGACUUCCUUGGUUCCUCAGCCUGCCCAGCUGCAGAGGUCUGAAGCUCUACUGAACACAAGACAAGGGCAGUUGGCUUCAGUACGCCCCCUGCUGCAGGAAAGUGGGCAUGGCUCGCCUGUCCACCUGCUGACGCCUCAUACGGACAACGGCUGCGUCUACCUGAGUUGCUGCUCUCUUGCCAUACUGAUUGUCUCAGCAAUUUUCUUCACCAGGCCGUCAUUGACAGUAUG